CUUCCUUCCUUCUUUUACCACACGGCUUUUGAACUUUUCUUUUAAUUUUUCUUUGACUUCACCUACUCCCAUUUCUUAUUACUUAACGGAGAAGAAGAAACAAUAAGAUAGAGAGAGGGAGCUUUACAGAUAUAAGAAAGAGAAGGCAGAGGGUGAGAUGCUGAGGGGGAGAAACGGAGAUUUAAAGGAUGACCAAAAGAAAAAUUCGCAGAAUAACAAAGAUAGGUUCUUCAAAGAAUGGAACAACAAGAUAUUUUGUCAAGAUGAUUAAUUAGCAGUUUAAAGACUGCUCAUAGCUUCAGUCUAGAGGUAGAAAGGAUGCUGGAAUAGGAGGCCGGAAUGGGGUGGGAAUAAUUAUUAAUUUUCAAAGUCUUUUCAUAUAAGUUAUUGUAAUGAUAUGAUAUUCCGCAACUAAAGUUUAAUGUUUUCUAAU